CCUACGGGAGGCUGCAGUGGGGAAUAUUGCACAAUGGGGGAAACCCUGAUGCAGCGACGCCGCGUGAGUGAAGAAGUAUUUCGGUACGUAAAGCUCUAUCAGCAGGGAAGAAAAUGACGGUACCUGACUAAGAAGCCCCGGCUAACUACGUGCCAGCAGCCGCGGUAAUACGUAGGGGGCAAGCGUUAUCCGGAUUUACUGGGUGUAAAGGGAGCGUAGACGGCAGCGCAAGUCUGGAGUGAAAUCCCAUGGCUUAACCAUGGAACUGCUUUGGAAAAUGUGCAGCUAGAGUGCAGGAGAGGUAAGCGGAAUUCCUAGUGUAGCGGUGAAAUGCGUAAAUAUUAGGAGGAACACCAGUGGCGAAGGCGGCUUACUGGACUGUAACUGACGUUGAGGCUCGAAAGCGUGGGGAGCAAACAGGAUUAGAUACCCGGGUAGUC
rnacentral:rRNA from 1 species